rnacentral:rRNA from 1 species
UACAGAGGGUGCGAGCGUUGUUCGGAAUUACUGGGCGUAAAGCGCGCGCAGGCGGCCCUUUAAGUCCGUCGGUCAAAUGCCGGGGCUCAACCCCGAUGCAUGCCGAGGAUACUGGAGGGCUGGAGACACGUAGAGGCAAGCGGAAUUCCGGGUGUAGCGGUGAAAUGCGUAGAUAUUGGGAAGAACACCGGUGGCGAAAGCGCCUUGCUGGGUCUGCACUGACACUGAGGGACGAAAGCUAGGGGAGCGAAAGGG